rnacentral:lncRNA from 1 species
CAAGGCAGUUUAUUAAUUAUUUCCCAUGUCUUCAUAUUUGUAUAUUUAAUGUAAUUCUAAUCAAAAUCUCAGAAUUUUUCAUAGGUCAGUGAUUCUAAAUUUCAUUUUUAUAGAAUAAAUAAGAGCCAAGAGAUGUUUACAUAAAGAAUAAUGGAGAACUUAUAAUGAUACAUAUUAACUAAAAAUAGUAUGAUGUCAGGGCGCCUGUAUGGCUCAGUGGGUUGAGCGUCUGCCUUCAAAGGUCAUGAUCCUGGAGUCCUGAGAUCCAGCCCCGCAUCAGGCUCCCUGCUCAGUGGGGAGUCUGCUUCUGUCUCUCCUCCCUGCUCCUGCUCUCUCAAAUAAAUAAAAUCUUAAAAAAAAAAAAAAAGUAUAAUAUUGAUAAAAUACUUGGAACAGAAUAGAAAGUCAAGAAUAUUGUGUUGGUAAGAAUGUCAUUACAAAUAAUGAAUAGAAAAAUACAAUAAUAAAUAUAUUAGAAGAUAAUGUAUAAUAAUCUUGGACUUGGGGAAGGAUGGAUUAAAAUAUAAAAGCAAAGGUUGAAAAGAGAAAAAUUCAUAUAUAUAAUUUAAAAAAAUUUCACAAAUGUCAGGUCACAAAUAGGCAACAAUCACUUGAGGAAAAAUAUUUAUUAUCUCUCCCUGUGAUAGAUACAUAGAGAAAAAUAGUUAAUACCAUAUAUAGUUAGUUCAAAUCAGUAAUAAUCAUUAUUUAAUUUAAAAAUUAGAUGAUUGUUCUCAGUAAAUUGUUUAAAAAAGAAUGCAAACAGAUAUAGACCUAAAGAUUUGUUCAGGCUUAGCGCUUAAUAAAGGAAUGUCAUAUUUGGUAUAUCAUAUCACUAAGGAUUCAAAAAUGUGCAUGAGACAUAUAUAAGUGACCUUUGUGUAAAAUGUAACAUAGAUAAUUGUAAUUAAUAAUGUUGGCUGUGAGAGAAGAUAGAUCAGAAUGCUCAUAUAUUGCAACUACAGGGUAGACCGUGUAGCAGCCAGUAAUGGAAUCUACCUAACUACCUAUCUGCUUAUUUAUAGAUAAUUUUUUUUUUUUACUAUUUAAUGAAAUGGAAAAAUGAUAGUAACCUAAAAAGUAACAAUGUCAGGAUAGAUAUAAACUAUAACCUUGUAUUUUUAAGUGUAUUUACAUAGAAAAUAAAUAAAUGAGGCAAUAUGCAAAGUGUUAAUGAUGGUUAUAUCCAAGUCAUAGAGCAAAAUAAUAAGAAUUAUUAUUAUAGAUCCUCUAAAACAAAUACAUUUAUAAUCAGAAAUUUGAAAAUAGAUUUAGUUUUCUAAAAAUCUAAGGUUGAUCAAAAGUCUAGGAUUUCAUUAUAUAUCUUCUUUAAAAAAAUUAUGGUCAAGACAUUUAUUGAGAUAGGUUAUAUACAGAAUUAAAUAACGAGAGAAUCAUCAGAGUCUCUGGUUAGGGCUGAACAGACUUGUGACUAGCAUUCGUAUUAGACUGUGGUAUAUACCUGUGCAUCUGGUAAUUAUGCCUCCUGGGAGUGUGGGGCCCAAGAUCCCUGAGAAAAAGAGCAGUGUGUUGCUGUUUAAAUCUUAGCCCUUUCCCCCGUGCCUAUGUAUCAAGUGCCACAGCAAUUUAAAUGUUCAAAUAUUGAUUGCCAAUGAUGUUGAAUCAAACUUACUGAAGUUUUUAUGGAUUAAGUGGGAGAAUUAAGACAGUUAUUUUAAUUCUGUAGCCAUUUGAUUAUUUCCCCUUCUCUCCCCGUCCCCAUUGACUCUACUGUUUUGUUCACAACAAAAUGUAAGACUUAGCAAGGUCAUGGGGACUUUUUUUUAAGUUCCUGGGCAAGGAACUUAAUAGUUCUUAGGAAGUAUACCUAGCGUGAGAUGCUGUACCUCUGAAGCCUUAAGUAUUAACUUUGUUUAAUUUUUUUGUGCUGUACUUCCUGAAUACAGCUUUUAACAGUGGACUUGUUUUUUCCAAUAAUUACGGAUUUGCAGGUACCACCUCUCCUUCGUGACUAAGAAAAAACUUUGGCCUUUGGUGCCUAAGGCCCUGAAAAGGUCCUGGCAUAGCAUUGAACCUGUCUCAUCACAAGUCACAUAUCCAUGAGGUGAGCGUGGUGGCCAGUUUCCAGCAACAGGAAGCAUGUCGUUAAAGAGUUUCACUUAAUGACAGAUGAACCACCUUGAAGUUUAAAUAAAAUUUGAUUUAACAUUGUCAUAAUAGUUUUCAGAUUUUUUAGAUUUGUUUAAUUUUCUCCUGAGACCAUGCUUGAUUCUAAAAGUAGCUUUUCUGACAUAUCUGAUAACUUCUGUUUUUCUGAAAUUCUAGAAAAGAGCUUUUUAGCAAAGCAUCAGUCCUUAUAUAUUUAAAACAAAUGCUCAGGUAGCCCGAGUGGCUCUGCGGUUUAGCCCCGCCUUCAGCCCAGGGUGUGAUCCUGGAGGCCUGGGAUCGAGUCCCACGUCAGGCUCCUGGCAUGGGACCUGCUUCUCCCUCUGCCUGUGUCUCUGCCUCUCUCUCUCUCUCUCUCUCUCUCUCUCUGUGUGUGUCUCUCAUGAACAAAUAAAUAAAAUCUUUUAAAAAAAUUGCUCAUUUAAGAAAAAAGUAAUACAAUUAAGUUUAAAAUGUACACGAAGGUAUAAAGUGAAAAACAAGAUUACCUUCUUCCUCUUUGUAUUUCCUGUACUUAAAGGUAACCGUUUUUAACAGUUUCUUGGAUAUCGUUGCAGAAAAUGUGUACCUACAACAUAUAUUUAUACUUUUUUAAACUUACAACAAUAGUUGUGUGUGUAUGUGUAUUACACAAGAUUCUUUACAGGUUCACUCCUUUAAUCACCAGGAUAAUCUUAAAGCAGAUACGAUUAUCAAACCGCAUGCUGAAUUGGUGGGAAUUCAGUGAAUAUUUAUUCCAUUUGGCUGAAUUUGUAUAUAAAAAUAAUGAUAGUAUGUAAUUACUUAAUAUGCAUGAGACUAUGAUUGAGUCUACUCCUGAUUGCACCAAUGACUAUCAUUUUCUGUGACCUGGUUUCUGUCCCUAUAAAUUGAAUUGUGCCUAUAUCUCCUAUCCACCUGAAUGUGGUAGGGAGAAUAAAAAAAAAAAAAAAAAAAAAGAAAAAGGAAAACAGGGCUGGGCAGCCUGGGUAGCUCAGCAGUUUAGAGCCGCCUUCAGCCCAGGGUAUGAUCCUGGAGACCCGGGAUUGAGUCCCACGUCAGAUUCCCUGCAUGGAGCCUGCUUUUCCCUCUGCCUCUCUCUCUCUCUCUCUCUCUCUCUCUCUGUCUCUGUCUCUGUGUCUCUCAUGAA